rnacentral:tRNA from 1 species
GGGAGUUUGGUCUAGUGGUAUGAUUCUCGCUUCGGGUGCGAGAGGCCGCAGGUUCGAUUGUCGUAACUCCCC